GGCCUGCGAGUGUGAUGGAUUCGCACGAUAGUCUUCGAAACUUUCAGACAAGGUUCAAAUCCUUGGCAGGUCA
rnacentral:tRNA from 1 species